CUGGAAAUCAUUUGAUUUUAUAUUAGAAAAUCAUGCUUAUCCAGCAAUAUUUGUCUUUAGUAUCACUUAAACAGGUUUAAAAUUAAUUCCUCACCUUCUGAUAGCAUUGUAUUGUGUUUAUAAGAUCCAUCUACACAAUCUACAUUAAGCUUGACAUACAAGUUAUUUUUAAAAAAUGCUGAGAUGUGAGCUUGAAAAAAGACAAAGAAUGUGUUUUUUCACAACAGGAAAUCUAGUUGUGAUAAUAAUCACAUCUUAGCUAUAAUAAAUAUGCAGUGUUGCUGACACAAAUAGGCUUACCGAGUAAUUAGAUUUUUUUUUCCUUUCUUUUUUUUUUCUCAUUUUCAGUUUGUUGUUUGAUUCUUGGUUAAAUAUUGAGAGGCACAGAAGACUCGGUCACACAAAAAACACUGAUGUUUGCAGUAGGCCUGUAAAAAUCAAUCAAAGAAAGCUGAGUAAUUUUCAAAUAAAUACUUUAAACAGUUACAACUUUCACUUUCUUAUAUGACAUUUGCAGCUAGCUUUCACCCACUGGUUAGUUUUAAGGACUAAAAACAAUUUUUUAGGGGGACACGAUUGUGGCUGUGGGUUAAAAUACACUGCUCCACAGAGGUAACCCUUCAAGUUGAAACAUGCCAAGUUGGGAGGAAAAGUGAUGUCUAAUGCCAACUUUAUGGUUUAUGCACUAGGACACCUUGUUCCCUAUAGGACAAUAGAUUUGUUAAAAUCAGAUUAUUUUAUUCCUCGGAAAUGAAAAUGACCGAUUACAUGUACAUUUUCAGACCAGGUAUGGUAAUUAAGCAGUAUAAAGUCCAUGUCGAAUGUAAUAUGUGGUGCUCCAGUGGGUCAGGCAGAAGGCUUUUAUCUGGGAGAGUGGGGUUAGGGUCCUGUGUGAAGCCAAAAGCAGCACCGAAUUACAUUUGCCAAGUAUCAAACACCUGAGUAUCCAUGCACUGAAGGAAAAAGAGGAAAAUGGCUUUUUUUCUCACCUUUUCUGCUCACUGCAGCUUUAAAUUGUCAGUUGUGGGGGGAUAUUAUCAUUAUAUCCACCACAGAAGUAUAAUUACUCUUAUUUAAGUUAGAAUCAAAGUUAAUGAGCUGAUUACAGCCUUAGAUGCUCAUGUGGGGCCACUCUGGCUGUUCCCAGGCUGAGGUUUAAAUCUGAAGGUUGUUGUGUUUUCGCCAUCUUAGAUUCUGACUCCGGAACAACCUUCCUGAGGAGAUGAGAGGGCAGACAGAGGAUACCUGCGUGCAGCUCAUAGGAUUGAUUUCGUUGGCAGAGAAGCAAACAGGUGGGUUUUGCUUCUGUCUCUUUACACAGUAACAUCCUUGUCCUCUUUCUGGAGUGCAUGGGGCCCCAGCUCCUGGUGACAGAGGGGCCUCCUGUUUGGAAACCUUUGAUCGCUGAUUGUGAGCACAUUUCUUCAGUGACAACACACACUCAUUAGACCUGCAGAGGACCAGAUGAGACUUUCAGUUUUACAGACACAUGAUAUGCUAGACCGAGGCAGUAGAAUUAAUUAGUAGAUUCAUUAAGAACAGUUUUUAGUGUAUCUACAACUAAAUGAUCUCAUUAAAAAUAUAAAUGCAAGAUUACAUUCUGUCCUCCUUUUUCAUACUGCUCUAGAAAGACGAUAAAUUUAACACUUCCUGCAUCAUGACUAGAUUAUUUUUCUCUUCUUUCAGCUGCUGAUAGUCUUCCCUAUAUUGGUUUUAAUAAUCUUAUCAAGUAAGAUGUUUCAGAAAUUGGAAUUUAAAUGACCACCAUAUCUUGCGUGUGGAUGUGGACUUUGUCCAAGUAUCACUAUCAUUCCCGUCAACCUUUCUCAAGACAAAUUCCUGGUAGAUCUGACAGAGCUGAAGCUCGUCUCAGUUCUCAGCAGUGUAAGGAGCUUAGCCCUCUAAGAAUGUCUGUUGCAGAUUUACUCUGCCUGUCCUUCACUUCUGAACAGGUACUCAGGUAAUGUGCAGCCCAGUAUCAGGUCAGGCCGGGUUCAUGGAUAAAGCUUACAGGAAGUUUGACGGGGGGGAAAAGAAGCACCUCGAUGCUUCCUGUCAUCAACAAAAACGAAAUCCUAAUCUGACUUUGUACUCUGAAAGCUAAAGCCACUGAUGACUGGUUCCUUAAAUGCCUAAAUUAAAAACAUUCACUCAGCCACAUCAGUUUUUCUUCUCCACUAAACAUAUUUCUGGAAGCACUGUAGGCCUGCAUCUUUCUGGAGCCUGCAUCCUUAUCACACCACUGGUAUCCGUCAGCAAAAAGUUUGCUCAACUGUCCUGCAAGCAAAGCAGUUUCUAUGAUUUCCUUCAUAGAGCUGUAAGAACCUUUUACCGAUUAAUGUUCAGUCUUGACCUUAUGUCAAUGGAAAAUUGUACUUAGUAGUCAGUAUAAGCUUUUAAUGAUAUAUGUUUGCAUAUGAUAGAAUACUGUAUGUUGACCUUUUGAUGACUUAGACUGUUGUCCACUACAAGACUGUUUUAUAAAUUCUUUCUCACAGCGAUAAUAGCUGAACAAGCAGGAAGAGGACAGCUGGAUACUUUUAUCUGCGCUCCCUAACAAGAAGAAGGGCUGCGUCCUUCUGAAUCUCACAACACACACACAUACACCUCAACCACUCUUAUCUUCACUCCCUACGCACUAACAUUCCGGAACGGAAUGUUCCAGUAAGAUAGCCACAUACUGUUAUAUAGUCAUUUUUCUGAGAAGAGCAAAAAUACGCCGCCCUGUUGUGUGGGCACCAGUGACUAUAAAUGCACGAAUAAAGAAGUACACUGUGUGACUCUCUCUCGAGACGUUCACCCAUGUACAUGUGAUUUAUUACGCUGUCUCAUUGUGUUCUGUUUAUAUUUGCAGUUUGCCAUUUGGGAUUUUCCCUUAACACCUUACAAAAAUCCCAACUCAAGAUCCAGUUCCCAAUGUUCAUCCAGAGUUCGAGUGUAUCACAGAGAGCGAGUGAUACAGGUCACAAUCAUCUGCAAUGAUGGAUCAUUAGAUAACAAGCAUUAUCAUAUAAUUUAAUACAAAACUUUUGGUAAGAUGCUGGAUUUGGGUAAGUAAAACAAGCUUGCGCAUACUCACAGUGAACUUUAAAACAUAGUUUCAGACUUGAAGUUGAAUAAUUCUGAUUCUCAGUCAUGAACUUGAGUUAAACAACAAAUAAUUUGAGGUUUGAAAGUGAACUUUUUCCAAAUAAAUUUGACUUUGAAAUCAUAAAUAUGAGAAUACCCUCAAAAACAACCCAGAAUGCUUUAGCUCUGCAUGUAGUUACAAUAAAACAGCACACAUAAGAAACAAACUUUAUUACUCAAAAUGGGCAAGUUCAUACAAUAUCAAGGUAGGAAUUAAAUAUGGAACCAAACUGAGGAAACAAAGCAGGCAGUGUACUGGACCAUCGCAGCUUGCAUAAGAGCACUUCUACAGUGCUUCUAUAUCCAUUAACCCAGUUAAGCUCAGGUGUGCUUAGCUGGGCCUAGUUGAGGUUCGGUCAGAUCUCCACUGCACACCUGGAACAUCAGCACCAACUCAGUGUACAGUGAAGACUGAACCAGCUCCAUCAGGCAGCUCCAAAAAUAGAUCGUCCUUAUUACAAUAAAGAAAUGUUUCUCCAAAAUACAAUCAAACAGAUGCUGAUACAUGUAAACACUAUAUACACCUUCUGUUUAAAAAAAAAGGAAAAAAAAAGAUUUCUUUGCCAAAAUAACAUUAAAUAUAUCACUGUUAAGUAUUUUACAACCAAAAAAGUACUUGUUUUUACAUCCCCAAAUAAAAGAAGUGAUGGGCAGAGUGCGUCAGAAAGUGGAACGUGAACACAAGUGACCUGAGUUUUUAAUCUGAUGAUUAUAAAAUAAUUAGUGUGAGUGAAGGGUUUGUCUAACUCUGCCAUUUUUGAUUAGCUGCUGUGAAAUACCUCAAUCAAAAUGCUAAGAUCAACUUUGUAAACAUGGAGGAAACAAGAAAGUGCUCAGUGAUAUAUCGCCGUAAUUUUACAAUUCAGAUCAGAUGAAACAAAA